UACGUAGGGAGCAAGCGUUGUCCGGAAUCAUUGGGCGUAAAGCGCGCGUAGGCGGCCCUGUAAGUCCGUUGUGAAAGUCAAAGGCUCAACCUUUGAAAGCCGAUGGAUACUGCAGGGCUAGAGUCCGGAAGAGGCGAGUGGAAUUCCUGGUGUAGCGGUGGAAUGCGCAGAUAUCAGGAGGAACACCAAUAGCGAAGGCAGCUCGCUGGGACGUGACUGACGCUCAUGCACGAAAGCGUGGGGAGCAAACAGG
rnacentral:rRNA from 1 species